CCUUAACAUUCUGGUGCUGUAGAAUGUGACCUUGCCUGAGCUGACACUUCACGUCAAUGGAUCUUCAGAACUGGAAGCUACGGUUUCACAGAUGGAACCAGAACAGAGUGAUGAGGAGCCAUAACCCAUGACAUGGAGCAAAAGCUGAGAAAUGGGAUGAACCUGAAUAUAUCUUUUUAUGAAAAUCAAAAGAAAACUGCAGAUGCUGGAAAACUGAAAUAAGAGCUGAAAAUACUGGAUACACUCAGCAGUUUCUGACGUCAGUGGUAAAGUGACUGCUCACUACUGACCUCGAAGGAAGAUCCGGCCUUCUCUGGUGUGAAGCUCACCUUUCCAGAGGUAGAUUGCUGAGGGCUGUCAGUUCCACAGGAUCUCCGGUGUUAAUCAGCAGUGAUCACAUCAAUCAGAUGGAGCAUCAAUCACAUUGAGGAAUUCUCGGUCAGCAAACAUGGAAGCAAAAGAAUAAAUUAUAAAUUUUGAUUUGAAGUACAACUGUGAAGCUGAGAUUGCCUGUAUUAAUGGAAACAGGAAAUGGAAGGAGCAUUACUACUUGUAUUUUCUGAAGCAAGGUCAAGAUGGCGGCUUAGCUAAUAGCUUUUGAGAUAGUGGAGGUGAUCUACUACUGUGAACUGCUGCAGUCCUUCUAGUGAAAAUACUUCCACAGUGAAUUCCAGGAUUUGGAGUCAGUCAUGAUGAACUGGGGGAUAUAUUUUCAAGUGUAUGUUAAUCAUAACACAGGAAGCAGGAUAUUAUGGAAAGGAAGUGCACGUUACGAAGAAAAGUUCAUAUACCGGUAGAAAGACAAGUUUU